GAUGAACGCUGGCGGCGUGCCUAAUACAUGCAAGUCGAGCGAACAGACGAUGAGGUUGCUCCUCUGACGUUAGCGGCGGACGGGUGAGUAACACGUGGAUAACCUACCUAUAAGACUGGGAUAACUUCGGGAAACCGGAGCUAAUACCGGAUAAUAUAUUAAACCGCAUGGUUCAAUAGUGAAAGACGGUUUUGCUGUCACUUAUAGAUGGAUCCGCGCCGCAUUAUCUAGUUGGUAAGGUAACGGCUUACCAAGGCAACGAUGCGUAGCCGACCUGAGAGGGUGAUCGGCAACACUGGAACUGAAACACGGUCAAGACCCCUACGGGAGGCAGCAGUAGGGAAUCUUCCGAAAUGGGGGAAAGCCUGACGGAGCAACGCCGCGUGAGUGAUGAAGGUCUUCGGAUCGUAAAACUCUGUUAUUAGGGAAGAACAAAUGUGUAAGUAAAUAUGCACGUCUUGACGGUACCUAAUCAGAAAGCCACGGCUAACUACGUG
rnacentral:rRNA from 1 species